GAUGAACGCUGGCGGCGUGCCUAAUACAUGCAAGUCGAGCGAACGGACGAGAAGCUUGCUUCUCUGAUGUUAGCGGCGGACGGGUGAGUAACACGUGGAUAACCUACCUAUAAGACUGGGAUAACUUCGGGAAACCGGAGCUAAUACCGGAUAAUAUUUUGAACCGCAUGGUUCAAAAGUGAAAGACGGUCUUGCUGUCACUUAUAGAUGGAUCCGCGCUGCAUUAGCUAGUUGGUAAGGUAACGGCUUACCAAGGCAACGAUGCAUAGCCGACCUGAGAGGGUGAUCGGCCACACUGGAACUGAGACACGGUCCAGACUCCUACGGGAGGCAGCAGUAGGGAAUCUUCCGCAAUGGGCGAAAGCCUGACGGAGCAACGCCGCGUGAGUGAUGAAGGUCUUCGGAUCGUAAAACUCUGUUAUUAGGGAAGAACAUAUGUGUAAGUAACUGUGCACAUCUUGACGGUACCUAAUCAGAAAGCCACGGCUAACUACGUGCCAGCAGCCGCGGUAAUACGUAGGUGGCAAGCGUUAUCCGGAAUUAUUGGGCGUAAAGCGCGCGUAGGCGGUUUUUUAAGUCUGAUGUGAAAGCCCACGGCUCAACCGUGGAGGGUCAUUGGAAACUGGAAAACUUGAGUGCAGAAGAGGAAAGUGGAAUUCCAUGUGUAGCGGUGAAAUGCGCAGAGAUAUGGAGGAACACCAGUGGCGAAGGCGACUUUCUGGUCUGUAACUGACGCUGAUGUGCGAAAGCGUGGGGAUCAAACAGGAUUAGAUACCCUGGUAGUCCACGCCGUAAACGAUGAGUGCUAAGUGUUAGGGGGUUUCCGCCCCUUAGUGCUGCAGCUAACGCAUUAAGCACUCCGCCUGGGGAGUACGACCGCAAGGUUGAAACUCAAAGGAAUUGACGGGGACCCGCACAAGCGGUGGAGCAUGUGGUUUAAUUCGAAGCAACGCGAAGAACCUUACCAAAUCUUGACAUCCUUUGACAACUCUAGAGAUAGAGCCUUCCCCUUCGGGGGACAAAGUGACAGGUGGUGCAUGGUUGUCGUCAGCUCGUGUCGUGAGAUGUUGGGUUAAGUCCCGCAACGAGCGCAACCCUUAAGCUUAGUUGCCAUCAUUAAGUUGGGCACUCUAAGUUGACUGCCGGUGACAAACCGGAGGAAGGUGGGGAUGACGUCAAAUCAUCAUGCCCCUUAUGAUUUGGGCUACACACGUGCUACAAUGGACAAUACAAAGGGCAGCGAAACCGCGAGGUCAGGCAAAUCCCAUAAAGUUGUUCUCAGUUCGGAUUGUAGUCUGCAACUCGACUACAUGAAGCCGGAAUCGCUAGUAAUCGUAGAUCAGCAUGCUACGGUGAAUACGUUCCCGGGUCU
rnacentral:rRNA from 1 species